rnacentral:tRNA from 1 species
GUAGCCAUAGUUUAAAGGAUAAAGCAUUUGAUUACGAAUCAAAAUAUUGUAGGUUCGAAUCCUACUGGCUACC